rnacentral:pre_miRNA from 1 species
AUGUUUGCCGGUGUAGCACCAUCAAGAUUCACAUGUACUGAGUUAUAGCUCUCUGCUGCAAAUGGGAAUCUUGAUGAUGCUGCAUUGGCAAUAAG